UUUCAUUCAUUUUAUUUGCAUACAUUGUAUAUUUCAUCAUUCCAUCUUCAUUUACAAUAAUUAAGUCAAAGGCUUUUUAAUGAUGAUGGUUUGCUUAAUCAGGAAGUACUUUGAAUUUGGAUAAUUGAAAGUAAAUAAGUGGUUGACUUUUGGUCAAUAGGGUCGACACAGUUGACCAGACAUUUGACCGCUAUCCUAGAC
rnacentral:lncRNA from 1 species